rnacentral:rRNA from 1 species
AUUGAACGCUGGCGGAAUGCUUUACACAUGCAAGUCGAGCGGCAGCGCGGCCUUCGGGCUGGCGGCGAGCGGCGAACGGGUGAGUAAUGCAUCGGAACAUGCCCAGUCGUGGGGGAUAACACUUCGAAAGAAGUGCUAAUACCGCAUACGUCCUGAGGGGGAAAGCGGGGGAUCGCAAGACCUCGCGCGAUUGGAGUGGCCGAUGUCAGAUUAGCUAGUUGGUGGGGUAAAGGCCUACCAAGGCGACGAUCUGUAGCUGGUCUGAGAGGAUGAUCAGCCACACUGGGACUGAGACACGGCCCAGACUCCUACGGGAGGCAGCAGUGGGGAAUUUUGGACAAUGGGGGCAACCCUGAUCCAGCCAUUCCGCGUGAGUGAAGAAGGCCUUCGGGUUGUAAAGCUCUUUCGGCAGGAACGAAACGGUGGGCUCUAACACAGUCCGCUAAUGACGGUACCUGAAGAAGAAGCACCGGCUAACUACGUG